AAUUUCGUCAGACGAAACGGGACUAAAUGUUUAGUUUGUCAACGACCUUUUUUUUCCAUGACGAAGACGAGACAAUGACAAGCCUGCACCAAUGUCCAAAAACACUGACUACGACUAAAUUUACACGCAGUAAUGUGGAUGAAAAAAGACGACAACAACAUGUUUUGCAUAAAAUAAAAUCUAAGAUAAAAUCUCUCUUCAUUUUUGUCUACAAUUGUCUACUUUUUCAUCAUGAAAAGCAUGUUCAGCUGUUACUAAGGA